UACGAAGGGGGGCUAGCGUUGUUUCGGAAUCACUGGGCGUAAAGCGCACGUAGGCGGAUUGUUAAGUCAGGGGUGAAAUCCUGGAGCUCAACUCCAGAACUGCCUUUGAUACUGGCGUAUCUCGAGUCCGGGAGAGGUGAGUGGAACUGCGAGUGUAGAGGUGAAAUUCGUAGAUAUUCGCAAGAACACCAAGUGGCGAAGGCGGCUCACUGGCCCGGUUACUGACGCUGAGGUGCGAAAGCGAUGGGGAGCAAAGCAGGGAUUAAUGACCCGUGAUCCCAGU
rnacentral:rRNA from 1 species